CUACUUUGUGUCUAUCGUAUUAUUCAAGUGAAAUUUUAGUUUUUAACUUUUUUAUUUUCCGCGCAACCUGCGGAUAGGAAUACUAGUUAGAAAAAUAGGACUGGCUCCUCUAAUAAAAGAGAGCAGCGGCGCUCUCAUUCUCCAUGAGCGAAAAUCUGCUCCAAAAUCAAGCUUUCACUCCCUCUUCAUCUCCUUUCUUCUUACUCACACAUGCAAAGUCAUAACCAAAAGAUAGUUGAAAUUUCUGGUUCCAAGCUUUAUACUUUAGAUCUGAAAAAUAAAAAUAAAAAUGAAAAAAAAUUGAAUAAGAGUGGUCUCGAUUUCUGCUGCAACACCUCGCGAUUUUCGAGGUUUUGAGCUGUCUUUUGGACUGGGAAUUGAAGCCGCUCUCGCUGAGUUUGUGUUGAUGGAAUUUGCUUGCUGGGUUUCAUGCUCCUUUUCUUCUGCCUUUAUGUGGCAUUUCUUAGUUGAUUUUUGCAUAAUCAGGUACUAAAUUAAGAAUUCGAAUCUCUGAUUUGUUGAAAUAAUUUGUUUUUUUUUUUCCUGUUUGCAAUGAUGUUAUGAGUCACUGCCGCACAUCUACUCUAUUUUCUUCCACAAGUUUGUUAGCUGAAUCUGAAUCUAAGUCUUUUUGCCUCUAUAAUAAUAAACUAGUACAUAUUUAGCAUAGAAUAGUGUAAAUUCAUCAUGGUCCGUUUUUUAUGUUGUUAGUAAUGAAUGGUGAGAAUUGUUUAGAAA
rnacentral:lncRNA from 1 species